rnacentral:snoRNA from 1 species
UCCCUCCAGAUCCCUUACCCCGCAGAUCUAAAUCUUGGUCUGAGUGGCCAGAAAAGUAGGAGAAGUCAAACUGAAUCAGACUUGGAUUCUUUGGCGAUAUACACACGCAUCUAUUACAAACGAGC